CAUAAUUGUUAUUACUUAAGCAACCUCGUUAACAGUUUAGAUUUAUAUCAAAUCGGAUGAGAAUCCAGGAUUUUUAGAGGGGGAGGGGUCUAGCAAGUCAACAUUUAAGGUAAAACUAUAUUUAAAAAAAGAACUACGCAUCUACCAUACACGAAGCUCCUUGAAAAGGGCGUGCCUUCCGCUCCCUUCUCCCCCAAAAAAUGUGCCUCGGCAAUUUUAAACCCUUUUACCAAAUAUAUUCAUGUAGCUGUACAAUGGAGGCUAUGGGACUACAAUCGAAAGUAGACAUCAGAUUCUGAAUCACCGAAAAUCAACUUAUAUUUUCAUGUAUAAUUUGAUAAUUAAAUUUUAACACAUUUAUACCUUUUUCUAAAUUUGUUCUUGACAAUUUUUUGUUCAUUUAUAAAUAUAGGGACAACGGAGUUGGUGUACGUGGGUUCGAUUCCCACCCUAGGCAUUCAUUUAUAUCGGCUGGUGCAAAGCGGGCAGUUUAGCUUAGUGGCCCCACAUUGACUCUGUUGUUCAUAUGUCAAUUUAAAAAUUCAGGCGGCCUCCUUUAAGUCUUGCCAUCUUUGUUUUUCUUUUCGAAAAUCAUACACAACAAAACCAUGGUAUAAUUGUGAAAAUUAUACCAUAGAUAGCUAUGGUAUAAUUUUCGGUUAUUAAGAUUUAUACUCUUGUUGCAUUCCCAUAGGUUACAUUGUACAGCUAUAGGUUAAUAGUAUUUA
rnacentral:lncRNA from 1 species